GCGCUGCAUAACGAAGCUUGAUUUUUUUUUUUCGAAAUGGAUAUUAGUUCUUUAAGUUUGGGGGAAAUAUACUCCUGAAAAAAGAAAGUGGCUAGAGACUGGUGACCAAAAUUAUUAUGAAUUUGGACAACUUAAGAUAACCCACAGUGUUGCUACAUGAGUGAAUACUCUAUUAUAACUACCAACAUUGGUCUUUCUUUGGAACAUUGCAGCAACAGCGGGGACUAUAUAUGUUUGGGCAGGACAUUCAAGAAGGAAUAUUUACCUGGACGUUGUGCCGUAAACCUCACCAGGAUGGAUGUGUUUGUCGAGAUACCAAUUGGCUGUGCAUGUUCUAACUAUAUUAAGUUUCUUGUUGAUAUACAAAUAUAAAGCCCGGAGAUCAUUGUAAUUUUCUAGUUAAAUAAAGUUUGAUAUUUUUGAGUG